rnacentral:rRNA from 1 species
GAUGAACGCUAGCGGCAGGCUUAACACAUGCAAGUCGAGGGGCAACACGGGUAGCAAUACCUGGUGGCGACCGGCGCAAGGGUGCGUAACGCGUAUGCAACCUACCCUGUACAGGGGGAUAACCCGGAGAAAUUCGGACUAAUAUCCCGUAAUAAUAUCCGGAGGCAUCUUUGGAUAUUUAAAGUUCCGACGGUACGGGAUGGGCAUGCGUAACAUUAGCUGGUUGGUAAGGUAACGGCUUACCAAGGCUAUGAUGUUUAGGGGUCCUGAGAGGGUGGUCCCCCACACUGGUACUGAGACACGGACCAGACUCCUACGGGAGGCAGCAGUGAGGAAUAUUGGUCAAUGGGCGCAAGCCUGAACCAGCCAUCCCGCGUGCAGGAAGACGGCCCUAUGGGUUGUAAACUGCUUUUCCAGGGAGAGAAACUUACGCACGUGUUGCGUGACUGACGGUACCCUGGGAAUAAGCAUCGGCUAACUCCGUG